GCCUGGGUGGCUCAGUCGGUUAAGCAUCCGACUUUGGCUCAGGUCACGAUCUCGCGGUCCGUGGGUUCGAGCCCCGCGUCAGGCU
rnacentral:tRNA from 1 species